GUUUCGAUGGCCCAGUGGUAGAGCGUGAGAUUGCAAUAUUCUAUCAAAAUUUGCUAUAUAUCUCAAGGUCCCGGGUUCGAUCCCCGGUCGGAACU